rnacentral:tRNA from 1 species
AGCUCAAUCAGUAGAGCAUGAGACUCUUAAUCUCAGAGUCAUGGGUUCAUGCCUCAU